rnacentral:rRNA from 1 species
GACAGAGGCCCCGAGCGUUAGUCGGAAUCACUGGGCUUAAAGGGCGCGUAGGCGGCCGAUCAAGUCGGAGGUGAAAUCCCUCGGCUCAACUGAGGAAUUGCCUUCGAUACUGUUCGGCUUGAGUCCUGGAGAGGGUAGCGGAAUUCCCGGUGUAGCGGUGAAAUGCGUAGAGACCGGGAAGGACACCAGGGGCCAAGGCGGGUUCCCGGGCAGGGACUGACGCUGAAGCGCGAAAGCUAGGGGAGCAAACAGG